rnacentral:rRNA from 1 species
GAUGAACGCUGGCGGCGUGCCUAAUACAUGCAAGUCGAGCGAACAGACGAGGAGCUUGCUCCUCUGACGUUAGCGGCGGACGGGUGAGUAAAACGUGGUUAACCGACCUAUAAGACUGGGAUAACUUCGGGAAACCGGAGCUAAUACCGGAUAAUAUAUUGAACCGCAUGGUUCAAUAGUGAAAGACGGUUUUGCUGUCACUUAUAGAUGGAUCCGCGCCGCAUUAGCUAGUUGGUAAGGUAACGGAUUACCAAGGCGACGAUGCGUAGCCGGCCUGAGAGGGUGAUCGGCCACACUGGAUGUGAGACACGGUCCAGACUCCUACGGGAGGCAGCAGUAGGGAAUCUUCCGCAAUGAGCGAAAGCCUGACGGAGCAACGCCGCGUGAGUGAUGAAGGUCUUCGGAUCGUAAAACUCUGUUAUUAGGGAAGAACAAAUGUGUAAGUAACUAUGCACGUCUUGACGGUACCUAAUCAGAGAGCCACGGCUAACUACGUG